ensembl:lncRNA
GUGGGUUGCCUUUUCCUUCUCCAGAACCUGAUAAGAGAACCAAAUGGCCAGGUGCCCUGGGCUGGCACAGGGAGGCAGUGACCUUGGCUUUUGGCCUGCACAGUCAGCAGAGCCCGCCCACGUGCACUGGGUGCAGGGAGCAGAAAUCAGUGGCCAGACGGAAGCCUGGAAGGGAGGCGAGGCACACCCCCCACCCCUGCCUCCUGAGGGCCUGGGGCUGGCCCCACGCAGGGGUCCCUGUGCCCACUCUCCCCAAUGGCAAGGAGCUCCCUCCAAGGCCACUCUUGACCGGAUACUCAUCCAGGGCCACCCAGCUGUCUCCAGCAUGGACCAUGAAGGCACAUUGGGACACUGGCAGGGUGGGGGCCAGGCUUCCAGGGUGGAGGGUGCCGGGCGGCUCCCCGGUCUCUACCCUCACUGCCGGCCCAGCCCCUCACUCACACCUGCUUGCUCAGGCUUCCUGGACCCUGCGCUGACCUUUGGCCACCUGUGUCCUGGUCCCAGUCGUCCUUCCGCUGGCUGUGUUAUGUGAUUGCCCCUGGCCGCUGAGAAGGCCUGACCCGGCCUCCCCAGUGAGCUCCAACUGGGCCCCGUCCCCUAGGAUGUGUCAGGCCAGCUGCCUUCAUCUCCGGGCCUGCUCACUGGACUCCAGGACCCUGUCCACAGUGUCCUCUGGGAAGUGAGCCCAAGCUGGCCUGUGGCCAGACCUUCCUGGGGCCCACCAUCGCAGGCCACCUUGCUGCCAGGCCAGAAAGCCCAAGAGCAGGCCAGCUCCUCGCUGUGGGCAGGAGGGUGAGGCUGCCUGGCUUGGGUCUCUCCCUGUGCCCCAGGGGUGGAGGGUAGGGGCAGGCUGCAUGUGGUCACCCCGCCCAGCCUCGCCCACUGGUCUUUGUCCCUCUGGCUCCUCUCCCUCUGGGGGCCUCCAGUUCAAAUCUUCCCAGGACCCUCCUGGGGCAGGCCCAGGUCCCUGUCCUGCUCCUGAAGCCCUCGGGCUGCCUCUGAUCAGGGCCCCUCAGAGCCAGUGCCUUCCAUGGAGCUGUGGUCCAGGGUUUCAGCCCUGUAGCCCCCAGACCUAGGCUUGCCAACACAGCAUGGAGGGACCUCGGGGAACUGAGGUGGGGUGGGCGUGUCAGGAGGCCAAGGAGGUGGCCCCGGGCCCAAUCCCGUCCCUGACACCCAGAGCCUCUCAAGAGGUGUGCCCAGCCCCAUAGCCCCCACGCCUUCCCAGAGCAGCUGCAGGUCAGAGGGCAUGGAUCACAGAGUGUCACCACGCUGUGCUGACCCUAGUCCACUCUAGGAGGUCGCCAUGAAGGCCACAGUCCUGGCCUCAGGUCCCCUCUGGCACCUCCCCGAAGUGUGCAGCUCCCAUGGGGAGCCUUGUUGUCAGAGCAGUCACGUGACCUGCCGGCCUCUGAGACGCCCCACUGCCCUGUCCCCCUGGUACCUGCCCCUGUCCUGUGCUGGACACUGGCUCCUCAUCAGCAAGGGGGCGUGACACAGUCUGGCCCAGGUGGCAGCACUGUGCCCGGUGCUCAGCACAGGGAAGGAAGGGCCAGCAGGGGUCAUGCCUAUCAUGGGUCGCAUUGCGUCCCCCUGAAUUCAUAUAUUGAAGUCCUAACCCUGAGCCCCCCUUAUUGGGAAUUACCAACACUGCAGAUGAGGUUAGUUAGAUGAGGCGUGCUGGAGUCGGAUGGGCCCUUAGGGUCCCUGUAGGAGCACAAAUUAGGACACACAGACACACACACACAUGUAUAUACACACACGUGCAUGCGCACACACCCAGAGGUGAUGUGAACACACAGGAGAAGACACUCCGGGAAUGGAGAGGAGCCUGGAGCGGACUCGCACUCACAGCCCUGAGACUCUGCUCUAGUCCCAGCCUCCAGAGCUGGGAGUCAGUAGGUUCUCUGUUUAAGCCGCCGGCCAGUGAAGCUGGGUCCUGGCUACCAAUGCAAACAGAGACAGUUCGUAGUCUGAGAACUCAGCCAGGUAGAGCAAGCGAAGAAAGGGCUCUGGGAUUUCAGGGCAGGAGGAAAACCUUGAAGCUACCUUGGGCAAGCCCUAGUUUCUCCCCUCUUCAGUAUCGGUGGGGAGUGGGUGGUGGUGAAGGAAGGCAGAGCCAGGGCGGGGAACCCACUCUGGAUGCCCAGGCUGGGCUGUGAGGUUGCGUUAGCCUAGGAGAGACACCCAACCUACACUUGACAGCUAGAUGUCCUCACGCUACUGCUAAGUCACUUGGUCGUGUUCAACUGUUUGGGACCCCGUGGACUCCA